AUGGACGUGGAGCGCGCCACCGGCACGGCGGUGUUUUGGACGCCGCACUCAUUUUACGACCCGAGGCGGCCGGAGCCCGUGGCCGUGGGUGCGCCAGCACCCAAUCCUUUCGAGUGGCCGCCGCGGCGGCGGAGGCCGGCCCGGCGGGUGCCGUUCAGUUGGCGGACGUACGAUCCCGAUCCGCCGGUCGUCGUCCCUGGAGCGGCGCCGCCGUACAGGAACGGCGGCUUCGGCGCCGUCCCGGCGUCGGAGAAGGCCAUCGCUGGCCUGCCCAGGACCACGGCCGGCGAGGCGAGGGAGAAGGGCUGCUCCGUGUGCAUGGAGGCCUUCGAGGAGGAGGACAUACUGAGGAGGCUGCACUGCUCCCACGCGUUCCACGAGGAGUGCAUCUCCGUGUGGCUCGGCGUCAGCCACCUAUGCCCGCUCUGCCGCUUCGCGCUGCGUACACAGGGCCAGGAGGACGAGGAGGAGCGUACGGGCCGCCAGUAG
rnacentral:rRNA from 1 species